rnacentral:rRNA from 1 species
AGCUUGCUCCCGGAUGUUAGCGGCGGACGGGUGAGUAACACGUGGGUAACCUGCCUGUAAGACUGGGAUAACUCCGGGAAACCGGAGCUAAUACCGGAUAGUUCCUUGAACCGCAUGGUUCAAGGAUGAAAGACGGUUUCGGCUGUCACUUACAGAUGGACCCGCGGCGCAUUAGCUAGUUGGUGGGGUAAUGGCUCACCAAGGCGACGAUGCGUAGCCGACCUGAGAGGGUGAUCGGCCACACUGGGACUGAGACACGGCCCAGACUCCUACGGGAGGCAGCAGUAGGGAAUCUUCCGCAAUGGACGAAAGUCUGACGGAGCAACGCCGCGUGAGUGAUGAAGGUUUUCGGAUCGUAAAGCUCUGUUGUUAGGGAAGAACAAGUGCGAGAGUAACUGCUCGCACCUUGACGGUACCUAACCAGAAAGCCACGGCUAACUACGUGCCAGCAGCCGCGGUAAUACGUAGGUGGCAAGCGUUGUCCGGAAUUAUUGGGCGUAAAGGGCUCGCAGGCGGUUUCUUAAGUCUGAUGUGAAAGCCCCCGGCUCAACCGGGGAGGGUCAUUGGAAACUGGGAAACUUGAGUGCAGAAGAGGAGAGUGGAAUUCCACGUGUAGCGGUGAAAUGCGUAGAGAUGUGGAG